rnacentral:rRNA from 1 species
UACGGGGGGGGGCAAGCGUUGUUCGGAAUUACUGGGCGUAAAGGGCUCGUAGGCGGCCAACUAAGUCGGAUGUGAAAUCCCCAGGCUUAACUUGGGAACUGCAUCCGAUACUGGAUGGCUUGAAUCCGGGAGAGGGAUGCGGAAUUCCAGGUGUAGCGGUGAAAUGCGCAGAUAUCAGGAAGAACACCCGUGGCGAAGGCGGUUCUCUGGGACGGUACUGACGCUGAGACGCGAAAGCGUGGGGAGCGAACAGG